UUAGGAUCCUCAGGGAUCGGCGGCUGAUGUUUUGUAAACACUCAGUAUGAGUUCCAGUUCCCGGGUGCUUGGACGUUGCGGAUCGGCUUAAAAAACGCAUCGGAAGCGAGAAUAUUCUGCUUGCCAGCAAUUUGAAAUGAGUUAAAAUGUGUGCAAAAUAUGAUAAAAAUAUAUGCCAUAAAUGUCAUAUGGGCUGCUAUCCAUGAAAAAGUGUUAAGUGUAGUGUGUCCUAUGGACCGAAAUAGGUCCAUGUGUUAAAGAUGUGCUUGCCAAAUAAAAAAACCAAAAAGUAGAGGGGGUUAAUGAUAAUUCUCUAACCGAAUUGGAAAAAGGAUUCUACGAGCACUCACACAGCCAAUAAAUUGUCCGGCCGCCCGAUUGCCGCUCCAGGACACCAAAUAUUACACAACUCCAGAGGACUGUUCUCCAUUUUGGGCACAUUUGAAAUUCAGAACGCGUUGAGCACAUUAUCACUUUCCAUUGGACCGAGAUGACUUCAUUUUCGUGCCAUAUGCCUGUGCCGGUGCUGUACUUGUGGUUCCACCCGCUCCUCUUAAGUCGCUGCCAUGAUUUACUACAAGCAGAUGAUUUAAUAUAACCGCAUAUCUGGAUAUAGAAACACACACACACCCGGCCAGAGUGCACUUCAGAUGCAUUCGACUGUAUUCGACUGCACUGGAAACAGGAACCCGUUCAACUGGGCCACAAACAGAGGCAGACACCCCACACAUGUUGUCAGUGAAGCGUCCGUUUUGGAGGAAAAACGGGACGACUGUUGAAGGUCCUCCAUCUUGAAAACUGACGCCUCUAAGAGGCGGCUCCGCAAGACGAUAACUCAAUUGAAUAUUUAAACAAAAAGGCAAUUGUAAAUAAGUUAAUACUUUAAACUAUGGUAACUAAAGGGUAAUUUCAAUAUUAUUAAUAGAUUGUGUGAUCGGUUAGAAUUUAAAAUAUUUCCUUUAUUUAUUAGCAUUGUAUUAUGAUUAAGAAAAUAUUUAAUAAAUGGUUUCUCCUGGCUUAAAACCACAAUUAUUGGA